rnacentral:rRNA from 1 species
GUAAACGAUGUCGACUUGGAGGUUGUGCCCUUGAGGCGUGGCUUCCGGAGCUAACGCGUUAAGUCGACCGCCUGGGGAGUACGGCCGCAAGGUUAAAACUCAAAUAAAUUGACGGGGGCCCGCACAAGCGGUGGAGCAUGUGGUUUAAUUCGAUGCAACGCGAAGAACCUUACCUGGUCUUGACAUCCACGGAAGUUUUCAGAGAUGAGAAUGUGCCUUCGGGAAUCGUGAGACAGGUGCUGCAUGGCUGUCGUCAGCUCGUGUUGUGAAAUGUUGGGUUAAGUCCCGCAACGAGCGCAACCCUUAUCCUUUGUUGCCAGCGGUCCGGCCGGGAACUCAAAGGAGACUGCCAGUGAUAAACUGGAGGAAGGUGGGGAUGACGUCAAGUCAUCAUGGCCCUUACGACCAGGGCUACACACGUGCUACAAUGGCGCAUACAAAGAGAAGCGACCUCGCGAGAGCAAGCGGACCUCAUAAAGUGCGUCGUAGUCCGGAUUGGAGUCUGCAACUCGACUCCAUGAAGUCGGAAUCGCUAGUAAUCGUGGAUCAGAAUGCCACGGUGAAUACGUUCCCGGGCCUUGUACACACCGCCCGUCACACCAUGGGAGUGGGUUGCAAAAGAAGUAGGUAGCUUAACCUUCGGGAGGGCGCUUACCACUUUGUGAUUCAUGACUGGGGUG